ensembl:lncRNA novel transcript
UAGAUGCACCUUAAAACAAGAAAAUGAAGAAAAAACAAAUGUUAAUAUGCUGUACAAAAAAAAUAGAGAAGAAUUAGAAAGGAAAGAGAAACAAUAUAAGAAAGAAGUUGACGCAAAACAACUUGAACCAACUGUUCAGUCACUAGAGAUGAAAUCAAAGACUGCAAGAAAUACUCCAAAUCGGGAUUUUCAUAAUCAUGAAGAAAUGAAAGGUCUGAUGGAUGAAAAUUGCAUUUUGAAGGCAGAUAUUGCUAUACUCAGACAGGAAAUAUGUACAAUGAAAAAUGACAACUUGGAAAAAGAAAAUAAAUAUCUUAAGGACAUUAAAAUUGUUAAAGAAACAAAUGUUGCCCUUGAAAAGUACAUAAAACUCAAUGAGGAAAUGAUAACAGAAACAGCAUUCCGGUAUCAACAAGAGCUUAAUGAUCUCAAGGCUGAGAAUACAAGGCUCAAUGCCGAACUGUUGAAGGAAAAAGAAAGCAAGAAAAGACUGGAAGCUGACAUUGAAUCUUAUCAGUCUAGACUGGCUGCUGCUAUAAGUAAACACAGUGAAAGUGUGAAAACAGAAAGAAACCUAAAACUUGCUUUAGAGAGAACACGAGAUGUUUCUGUACACGUAGAAAGGAGUUCUGCUAUUUCCAAAGUAAAAGAUGAGAAUGAGUUUCUUACUGAACAACUUUCUGAAACACAAAUUAAAUUCAAUGCCUUAAAAGAUAAGUUCCGUAAGAUGAGAUAGUCUCAGAAAAAAGUCAUUGUCUUUAGAAACUGUACAAAACGACCUAAGCCAUACACAGCAGCAAACACAGGAAAUGAAAGAGAUGUAUCAAAAUGCAGAAGCCAAAGUGAAUAAUUCCACUGGAAAGUGGAACUGUGUAGAAGAGAGGAUAUGUCACCUCCAACGUGAAAAUGCAUGGCUUGUACAGCAACUAGAUGACGUUCAUCAGAAAGAGGAUCAUAAAGAGAUAGUAACUAAUAUUCAAAGAGGCUUUAUUGAGAGUGGAAAGAAAGAUCUCGUGCUAGAAGAGAAAAGUAAGAAGCUAAUGAAUGAAUGUGAUCAUUUAAAAGAAAGUCUCUUUCAGUAUGAGAGAGAGAAAGCAGAAGGAGUAGUGGUUGUGAGACAACUUCAACAAGAAGUGGCUGACAGUGUAAAAAAAUUAACGACGUUAGAGUCUCCACUGGAAGGUAUAUCACGUUGUCACAUUAAUUUGGAUGAGACAUAGGCCUCAAAGAAGAAAUUAUUUCAAGUGGAAAGUCAAAUAUAAGAAACUCCUGGAAAUGACAAUAAAUAUGUUAAAUGUAUUUGGAAAUGAAGAUUUUGAUUGCCAUGGAGACUUAAAAGCAGAUCAACUGAAAAUGGAUAUUCUGAUUAAGAAGCUAAAACAGAAGGAACAAGCACAAUAUGAAAAACAAUUAGAGCAGUUAAACAAGGAUAAUAUGGCUUCACUAAAUAAGAAAGAACUCACACUUAAAGAUGUGGAAUGUAAAUUCUCAGAAAUGAAAACUGCUUAUGAAGAGAUUACAACCGAAUUAGAAGAAUAUAAGGAAGCCUUUGCAGCAGCAUUGAAAGCUAACAAUUCCAUGUCAAAAAAAUUAACAAAAUCAAAUAAGAAAAUAGCAGUGAUCAGCAUGAAGCUCCUUAUGGAGAAAGAGCAGAUGAAAUAUUUUCUCAGCACUCUUCCUACAAGGCGAGACCCAGAGUCACCUUGUGUUGAAAAUCUUACUAGUAUAGGACUCAACAGAAAAUAUAUUCCCCAAACACCCAUAAGAAUUCCUAUUUCAAGCCCACAGACUUCAAAUAACUGCAAGAACUCCUUGACUGUGAUGGAGCUGGACUGUGUAGAACAAAUAACUAGAGAAACAAAGAGAAUUGUUGCUGUGUUGAACACUUGCUCCCGUCUACUUACUUCUCUAUAAUCCACUGCCAUGGAAUGAGUGAUUUUUCUUAGAAGCAGAGGUGGAGCCACUGAGGAAGCACAGGCGAGCCCUCCCCAGCACGUGAUCACUGGUCCCCAACAGAACAACCGCUGCCGCAUCCAUGAGACCAUAAAGGAAAACAGCAAGAGGUCCCCAGCAAACAUCUACAGAUGGCCCUGGAUAUCAGCCACAUUCGGAGAAACGUGUCAUGUUCUGGGAGGACUAAGGCAUCGAGAAUCCCAGUGAAUAUAUUGCCACCAUCUUGGAGCUCAGUGCCCUCAUAGUGUAAGAGCACCAGCAGAUCUGCCUGUGCACAGACUUCCUGUACUACCUCACUCCUGAGGGGAGAUGCUUCUGCAGGGCCUGCGACCUGGGGCACAACUUUAGACACCAUCAUCCUGGAGCGGCACUGCACCCUCACUAGCCAGGGUGUUGAUGACUUCCUCAAUGCCAAGGCCACGUUCAAGAUUUUCGACUUCAGUGAUGCGUUUGUGCU